GCUCGUUCCGGCUUUUAGACUGGUGCCCGGGGCAGCGUCUCCCACAGUACUCUCGCCCGGAUACCCAGGCAGGAUUCCUGGGUCCCCAUGGCCUGGUUCGUGCCACUGAGGUGCAUCCCUCUCUAGCCGUCAUGUUCCAGAACUAGGUUGCACUUGAUACUCCCAUGGAGAGAUCUGAUAGCCUGGUAAUGUCAGCACAUCCAUGCUUCCAGCAGAGAUGUGGCCCAGAUGAAAGAUCUUCCUGCUUCAAGAUCCACGUUAAAGUGACAUCUGAUGGAAGGUUGAACUUUCAAAAACACCACUGACUGAUCCCAGCCUUGUCACUGAAGGCUUCAAGUUGCAGAUGGACGGACUGAAAUGGAUCUUUUCCUCCUGCCUGAAGAGUGACCCACAGA